GGAGGGAUAGCGAAGUGGCUAAACGCGGCUGGCUGUAACCCAGUUCCGAAAGGUUCGGCGGUUCGAAUCCGCCUCCCUCCA
rnacentral:tRNA from 1 species